AUUGAACGCUGGCGGCAGGCCUAACACAUGCAAGUCGAGCGGGGUUUUCGGACCUAGCGGCGGACGGGUGAGUAAUGCUUAGGAAUCUGCCUAUUAGUGGGGGACAACAUUCCGAAAGGACUGCUAAUACCGCAUACGUCCUACGGGAGAAAGCAGGGGAUCUUCGGACCUUGCGCUAAUAGAUGAGCCUAAGUCGGAUUAGCUAGUUGGUGGGGUAAAGGCCUACCAAGGCGACGAUAUGUAGCGUGUCUGAGAGGAUGAUCCGCGACACUGGGACUGAGCCACGGCCCAGAGUCCUACGGGGUGCAGCAGUAGGGAAGAUUGGACAAUGGGAGGAACCCUGAUCCAGCCAUGCCGCGUGUGUGAAGAAGGCCUUAUGGUUGUAAAGCACUUUAAGCGAGGAGGAGGCUACUGAGACUAAUACUCCUGGAUAGUGGACGUUACUCGCAGAAUAAGCACCGGCUAACUCUGUGCCAGCAGCCGCGGUAAAAC
rnacentral:rRNA from 1 species